rnacentral:rRNA from 1 species
AUAUCAAUAAGCGGAGGAAAAGAAACUAACAAGGAUUCCCCUAGUAACUGCGAGUGAAGCGGGAAAAGCUCAAAUUUAAAAUCUGGCGGUCUCUGGCCGUCCGAGUUGUAAUCUAGAGAAGUGCUACCCGCGCUGGACCGUGUACAAGUCUCCUGGAAUGGAGCGUCAUAGAGGGUGAGAAUCCCGUCUCUGACACGGACUACCAGGGCUUUGUGGUACGCUCUCAAAGAGUCGAGUUGUUUGGGAAUGCAGCUCAAAAUGGGUGGUAAAUUCCAUCUAAAGCUAAAUAUUGGCGAGAGACCGAUAGCGAACAAGUACCGUGAGGGAAAGAUGAAAAGAACUUUGGAAAGAGAGUUAAACAGUACGUGAAAUUGCUGAAAGGGAAACGCUUGAAGUCAGUCGCGUUGGCCGGGGAUCAGCCUCGCUUUUGCGUGGUGUACUUUCUGGUUGACGGGUCAGCAUCAAUUUUGACCGCUGGAAAAAGGCUUGGGGAAUGUGGCAGCUUCGGCUGUGUUAUAGCCCUUUGUCACAUACAGCGGUYGGGAUUGAGGAACUCAGCAYGCCGCAAGGCCGGGUUUCGACCACGUUCGUGCUUAGGAUGCUGGCAUAAUGGCUUUAAGCGACCCGUCUUGAAACACGGACCAAGGAGUCUAACAUGCCUGCGAGUGUUUGGGUGGAAAACCCGAGCGCGUAAUGAAAGUGAAAGUUGAGAUCCCUGUCGUGGGGAGCAUCGACGCCCGGACCAGAACUUUUGGGACGGAUCCGCGGUAGAGCAUGUAUGUUGGGACCCGAAAGAUGGUGAACUAUGCCUGAAUAGGGUGAAGCCAGAGGAAACUCUGGUGGAGGCUCGUAGCGAUUCUGACGUGCAAAUCGAUCGUCAAAUUUGGGUAUAGGGGCGAAAGACUAAUCGAACCAUCUAGUAGCUGGU